AAGAAAUUACAAAGAUAAUGCUGUUAAGAAGUAACCUCAUGAUGACAAGACAUCACUGGGGUUUGAGAAAAAAUGGUUCAAAAUUGGAGAAGAACUCCUAGGAUGUUCAGAACCAUGAUUUAUUUAGUCUAACAAAUGAAAACUGAAGCUGAGCUGACUCUGGGCAUGCUCUCAAGGGCACUAUGUUAGUAGCAAACAGAAGAAAAAGCAAAUAAUUAUGUAAUGUGAAGGACACAGACUUGCCAUAAAUACAUCUAGGAUGGAAAUAAUAAAGAUGUUCCUGAUCACUGGAGAAUUUAGGAUUUGGAAUAAUGGUCCAGUAGAAGCAGCAAGAAAUCUGGCUGGAAGACUAGCAUGAACCAACAUGGCCACGUUAGACUGUGUGGUGCUUAUGUUAGCAAAGACAGGGUUCCAUAGGGAACUUAUCUUUGUUGUAGGUUUGUAUAAACACUGGAGAGAAAAGCUUCUUAUUUUUUUGCCUAGCUGGAGACUUGUACCAGGGUUGUAACUACCACAUUAUAUCCAUCAGUUCAAGUGUCAGGAUUCUGACAGCAUUUCUUUUACAGUAAUUUCAGUAGAUCAAAAACCAUGUCAUGCCCUAGUGUUCAAUGAAUAUGAAAAAUGUGAUUUAUAAAGUCUUCUAAUCUUCUGCCAAUGCAUCUGAGAUAAUUUACUGUAAAACUCAAGACAGCACUAAUAGGCUACUCCCUUCAACGCAGCAUGAAUUUGAAAGGGUAAACAUCUAGAUUCUGAAGUGCACUAAGGCUCAUGUUCAUCCUGAAUAAUCUUUUACAUUUCUUUAAAGCUAUUUUUAAUAUAUGCGAACACCUAAUUAUAGCUAAAGAUAAUGUGCACUCCAAUUAUCCUCCCUUCCUGCUAGGUCCUCGGCAGAUGAACAAUCCCCAGAAAGAGUCUUUAGCCUGCAUGCUCCCCUCCUCAUUACACCUUGAUGGAUCUUCUGUUCUGCUCCCAGAAGUCCGAAGGUGAAAAUGGGUAAGUGUGCAGAAUGAGCAGAAGUAUGAAACAAGGAGUGUCAACAAAUUUCACAAGGAUUAAUGUUUGCAUCACUGAUAACGAAGAAGGAGAAUCACAUGGCAUGAUAAGAAGUAAAAGCGAUCAGAAGACGGUGUGACUGCGAAGGGGGAAGAAAAUGAAAAGUUGAAUGAUGGAGGGCCCCCACUUGCUGCAGCAGUGCAGACAGCUUUGAAUGAAUCACGGUAUUCCAAGAAUCACUGACAAACCUUGUCACAUGGGCAACCCGCAGCACAGGAGCUGCCAGAAUGAUGCAGUGACUAAGGAGGCUGAUGUGAUCCCUGGAUGUAGAAUACCUUCUGUAGGAGUAAAGAGCAUUAGGCCCAGACAGCGGUUGAAAACCACAGCUCAGUUGGCGAUGAGCGCUGUGCAGCAGCGGAAGCGUGUGGAAAAAUUCUGGCUGACUCAUCCAUAAUUCAUCUGGCGUCCCAGGGAACGUGCGCACUGGAGAGGGAUCCCUGGCACUCCUGCAAGGAAGAGGCCUUCUGCCCCAUCAAGAUGUGGGCAACAACCAGCCCUCUUUUACCCAGGUGGCCUCUGAAGGACCACAUGCAACAUCUCUCAUACCUGUGACUAUGUGCACCCUUGGCCCAGCCAGGCAGACGUGCUGCUUGAACUGCAGCAGCCCUCAGGACAAGAUAGAGAAGAACUGCCUGCAUUUGAGAACAAAGCCUCACUGAGACACUUGCUUUUCAGUCCUGCCUGACAGCUGAGCUCCACACAGAAGGUAUGUUAAGUUAGGGAAGCUUCCUGUAAUCUCUGCCCCUUUGAAAAAUACCCAACAGCCAGAUUAAAUAUGUCUUGCAGUGACUUUCAUGUCAUCAGCUAGAGCCGUCUCUAAAAAGGUACAAGCACAACAGCCAAGUGAUUGUGCUAGAGACGCAUGAGUUAAUUUUAAAAUGUUUCCUGUUUCACCCUUAAGAAUGACCUUUACUAAAAAAAAAGUAAAUUAAAAUUAAGUAUUAAAUACAUUUUCUUAAAUAGAAUCAACUAUGGAAAAGGUUCUUUCCACUCCUUAACAUACACAAUCACGAUACACUGAUUACUGUACAGGAUUACUAUAGUAUCUCUUUGAAGUUCGUAUACGGAGUUCAACUAUAUAUAUAUUUAAAAAAAAAAACCUAAAAGGGGGGAUUAGUCAGAUUACUAUUGGCUUGCCUUUAUUACCUCAUGUUUAUUUUCUCGGUUACACACUGAAUAUUUCCAACAUUGCGUCCCCCUUAGUAGCAAACAUCUCCAUUCCUGUUCCAACACAAUACCCUGGCUUUUGAUACCUGAUAUGCUAUGUGCCAAUGUGAAGCUUGAUUUACCAGUGAGAAUCCAAGAGACUCCAAUAUCCUGCUAGCACAAGCAAGGCUGGAGGACUAGGACUUUUGUUCUGGAACUUCUAGUCAGAAGCUCUUGCAGUAUUAAGAGUAGAUGCUUUGUCCAUCAUCUCAGCCCUAGCAAACAGAGGCACAACUGUGUGGUGCAUAAUAUUGUGAUGUUUAUUUUAAGAGUAUCAUCUUGCAAUGGCAUAUUCAAGAAUUUGUGUCAUGCAUCUGUUGAUUUUGUAACUAAAGCACUGUUGGCCAAUUUUUUUUCCCUUACUGGUUCAUAACUGUGGGAGGAAAACAUGUAAGUAGAUUGGAAUUGUGCACCACAGCCAUGAGUGUAACUUUUGUUUAGGCUCAGAAUGUGAGACAGAGGAAUCAAACUGGAGCCAGCUGAGGACAGCUCUUCUUCUAGGCUCUCAAGUUCCUCUAGGAGGCUUUUAUACAACCCUUGAAACCUAGUUGGGAUAUUUCUUCCAGUAGAGCUACACCUAUAGUGUAGGCAGGAUGCAGACACUUUACUGCAGUCAAACCAUAUGCAGCUUGAUUACACUUUGCUAUGUUCUUGGCAGUACUGAAGGAGCAUGAAUUAGUGACUUUUUUUUCAUGUAUGCAUUUGUAAAAGGCACAGUAAUGGAUGUUCAACAUCACUGAGAAGCCAAAAUAAAUAUACUGUGGUAAUGA